rnacentral:rRNA from 1 species
GAUGAACGCUGGCGGCGUGCCUAAUACAUGCAAGUCGAGCGAACAGACGAGGAGCUUGCUCCUCUGACGUUAGCGGCGGGCGGGUGAGUAACACGUGGAUAACCUACCUAUAAGACUGGGAUAACUUCGGGAAACCGGAGCUAAUACCGGAUAAUAUAUUGAACCGCAUGGUUCAAUAGUGAAAGACGGUUUUGCUGUCACUUAUAGAUGGAUCCGCGCCGCAUUAGCUAGUUGGUAAGGUAACGGCUUACCAAGGCAACGAUGCGUAGCCGACCUGAGAGGGUGAUCGGCCACACUGGAACUGAGACACGGUCCAGACUCCUACGGGAGGCAGCAGUAGGGAAUCUUCCGCAAUGGGCGAAAGCCUGACGGAGCAACGCCGCGUGAGUGAUGAAGGUCUUCGGAUCGUAAAACUCUGUUAUUAGGGAAGAACAAAUGUGUAAGUAACUAUGCACGUCUUGACGGUACCUAAUCAGAAAGCCACGGCUAACUACGUG